rnacentral:tRNA from 1 species
GCCUUCGUGGUGUAGUGGUCAGAAUGCUCGACGGGUAUUCGAGAGGUCCGUGGUUCGAGUCCCGGCGAGGGCA